UCCUACGGGAGGCAGCAGUAAGGAAUAUUGCUCAAUGGGAGAAAUCCUGAAGCAGCAACGCCGCGUGAGGGAUGAAUGGCUUUAGCUUGUAAACCUCUGUAACAGGGGAAAAAACCUCCACUCUGUGGAGUAUGAUGGUACCCUGGAAGUAAGCGUCGGCUAACUACGUGCCAGCAGCCGCGGUAAUA
rnacentral:rRNA from 1 species